UACAGAGGUCCCAAGCGUUGUUCGGAUUUAUUGGGCGUAAAGGGUGCGUAGGCGGCGCGGUAAGUCGGGUGUGAAAUCUCGGAGCUUAACUCCGAAACUGCAUUCGAUACUGCCGUGCUUGAGGACUGGAGAGGAGACUGGAAUUUACGGUGUAGCGGUGAAAUGCGUAGAUAUCGUAAGGAAGACCAGUGGCGAAGGCGGGUCUCUGGACAGUACCUGACGCUGAGGCACGAAGGCCAGGGGAGCAAACGGG
rnacentral:rRNA from 1 species